rnacentral:rRNA from 1 species
GACGAACCGUCCUAACGUUGUUCGGAAUCACUGGGCUUAAAGGGCGCGUAGGCGGGUUCCCAAGUCGGUGGUGAAAUCUUUCGGCCCAACCGGAAAACAGCCGCCGAUACUGGGAGUCUUGAGGGAGGUAGGGGUCGAUGGAACUUCCGGUGGAGCGGCGAAAUGCGUAGAUAUCGGAAGGAACGCCGGUGGCGAAAGCGAUCGACUGGACCUUUCUGACGCUGAGGCGCGAAAGCCAGGGGAGCAAACGGGG